GCUCCCUUAGCUCAAGUGGUUAGAGCGUGGUGCUUAUAACGCCAAGGCUACGGGUUCAAGUCCCGUAGGGAGCA